AAGUUUGAUCCUGGCUNNNNNNNNNNGCUGGCGGAAUGUAUUAGGCAUGCAAGUCGAACNNNNCUUCGGGCUAGUGGCGAACGGGUGAGUAACACGUGGGUAACCUGCCUCGUAGUGGGGAAUAACUCGCCGAAAGGCGAGCUAAUACCGCAUAACACCCUCGGUGAGAAUCCGAGUGGUAAAAGCUUUAUGCGCUACGAGAGGGGCCCGCGGCCGAUUAGCUUGUUGGUGGGGUAACGGCCUACCAAGGCGACGAUCGGUAGCUGGUCUGAGAGGAUGGUCAGCCACACGGGGACUGAGAUACGGCCCCGACUCCUACGGGAGGCAGCAGCUAAGAAUCUUGCGCAAUGGGCGAAAGCCUGACGCAGCAAUUCCGCGUGGGGGACGAAGGCCCUCGGGUCGUAAACCCCUUUUGCGAGGGAAGAAGUUCUGACGGUACCUCGCGAAUAAGACACGGCUAACUACGUGCCANCNGCCGCGGUAAUUC
rnacentral:rRNA from 1 species